rnacentral:misc_RNA from 1 species
UCCCAAAAGAAAACAUUGUUAUUCGACAGAAGAAUAAUUUCCAAUGCAUCUGCCUAUGAGAAAAGCUAGAACUCAGCCCCCCAAAAUUAAAGGUUAUUGGGCUGCAUCAGUCCAAAUUACAUGAGAAAUAAGAACCAUUGAUAUUCGCUCCAAACUCUGCCAAAUUUUAUAAUCUAUGGAACUAGCCUUAAAAAAACAAGGGCCAAUUCCAUCAAGCAGCUUUUGUUAAAAACAGCCACCAAACUAAAGGCCACAGCAAAAAUCCUAUCAAUAUCUACAGCUUGCACCAGAUACCUCACCACUAAAUGCAAAACAGACUUUGGAUAAUAUCAGCCAUUCUAAAGCAUAUAAUUUCUUUAUCUGACUAUUUCUACUAUACACUAAGAUUCUUAUCUACAACAGAGCUUGCUUUUGUCCUUUACCAGCUCUGUUACCUUCUCUCCAUGAGUUCAUUCACUUGCAAAAUUUGAUCUGCCAGAUCCAAAUGCAAGUUCGUGUAUCAUAAUUUAGCUAAAAUAUGAGCUCACGAAUAGCCUCACCCCAAUAUCAAUGGGUCCAUCAUCCCCACCAACCGCAUGAAGCGCAACAGGAAUUGUUGAAAGAAGAUGCACAGUGACGGGGAAGACUAAAGGGUCAAUCUCACACUCUGAAACAGGAUCUACAUGUUGGGAUGCCAAAUUAUUCUUGUCUAAAUGUGUGGGACUGCACUCAUUUGCAAUCUUUCCAACGGCGCCAGGUUCCACAUUCAGGUUGCAUGGAUUUACAACCCAUGCAAUCUCAUUAAGUGCCCUGUAAUUACCAAGGCCAGCCCUUCUAAAUGUUCGUUUGUAGGCACAU